rnacentral:rRNA from 1 species
UUGAGAUUUUAACACGAAGUGAGUGGCGAACGGGUGAGUAACACGUGGGUAACCUGCCCAGAAUAGGGGAUAACACCUGGAAACAGAUGCUAAUACCGCAUAACAACUUGGACCGCAUGGUCCGAGCUUGAAAGAUGGCUUCGGCUAUCACUUCUGGAUGGUCCCGCGGCGUAUUAGCUAGAUGGUGGGGUAACGGCUCACCAUGGCAAUGAUACGUAGCCGACCUGAGAGGGUAAUCGGCCACAUUGGGACUGAGACACGGCCCAAACUCC